rnacentral:rRNA from 1 species
ACCGGCAGCCAUAUCGCCCUGCAGCUGCCAGCUGGCAGCCCACUGAAGCUCAGCAGGUGUGAGACUGGUCAGUACCUGGAUGGGAGACUCCUGGGAAAGCUGAGGCUGCUGCUG